rnacentral:rRNA from 1 species
AGUGAACGCUGGCGGUAGGCCUAACACAUGCAAGUCGAGCGGCAGCACAGUAAGAGCUUGCUCUUACGGGUGGCGAGUGGCGGACGGGUGAGGAAUACAUCGGAAUCUACUUUUUCGUGGGGGAUAACGUAGGGAAACUUACGCUAAUACCGCAUACGACCUACAGGUGAAAGCAGGGGAUCUUCGGACCUUGCGCGAGUGAAUGAGCCGAUGUCGGAUUAGCUAGUUGGCGGGGUAAAGGCCCACCAAGGCGACGAUCCGUAGCUGGUCUGAGAGGAUGAUCAGCCACACUGGAACUGAGACACGGUCCAGACUCCUACGGGAGGCAGCAGUGGGGAAUAUUGGACAAAGGGCGCAAGCCUGAUCCAGCCAUACCGCGUGGGUGAAGAAGGCCUUCGGGUUGUAAAGCCCUUUUGUUGGGAAAGAAAAGCAGCAGGUUAAUACCCCGCUGUUCUGACGUUACCCAAAGAAUAAGCACCGGCUAACUUCGUG